AAGGGCACCACAAGAACGCGUGGAGCAUGUGGCUUAAUUCGACUCAACGCGGGAAAUCUUACCGGGUCCGGACACACUGAGGAUUGACAGGCGCUUGCAUAGCGCGGCUGGCGCCCUUUACGGGGUGCCAUGUCCGUCGCCAAUGCUUUCAAAUAUGCUAGUCCUUUCAUGAUUGUGUGAUAGGUGGUGCAUGGCCGUUCUUAGUUCGUGGAGUGAUCUGUCUGCUUAAUUGCGUUUCACAAGGGACUUGCAUGGCAUACGUUGGGACACGGUGCCCUCCCACCGCCGCCCCUGACGGGGCCGGGGGAGUGCUGCGCCUGUCUUUCAAUAGCCAACAGUCCCGAAGGCAACGAACGUGACCGCAGCCUCUUGUUACCUCUCUGUUUUCCACUUCGGGGCGGCCUGUCCUUGUGGCAGGUUUUCUGCUCCCGUUGAGAGAGGUAAACUAGAGGGACCGCCGACGUUUUCAAACCGGAGGAAGGUUGCGGCAAUAACAGGUCUGUGAUGCCCUUAGAUGUUCCGGGCUGCACACGUGCUACAAUGAUUAUUGCAGUGAGCAUCUUCACAAGUUCGUGGGAUGUCUGCGCCGAGUCCAUUUGGCCGGACUGGCGCGGUUUGUUGCGUUGGGGACGCCAGCCAUGGUCUUAUGGCCGUGGUUGUGCGGCUCCCGACGUGGCCCGCGUCGCUGGCUUUGGGCUUGGUGCGCAUCCGUUAUCACGACACGCCUGCUUCGAAAGUAAGCAGGUAAUCAAUUCGAAGUAAUGAUUUCCACCCGCACAUCUCAGCGCAGGUCGUCGCGGCCCUGUGCCCGGCGCGCCAGCGUGUGCUCCAUAACUUCGUGGUGGGGACAGACCCUUGUUAAUUGUUGGUCUCGGUCUCAACUAGGAAUGCCUUGUACGGGUCUUUGGUUCAACAAACCACCCGGAAUAUGUCCCUGCCCUUUGUACACACCGCCCGUCGCUCUUACCGAUGGACUUCUCUGUGAGUUUGAGGGACUAGGACGGCCCGCGUUCGCGUGGGCUGCCCGACGGAAACUUAAACGAACAGUGUGGUCUAAAGGAAAGAGAAGUCGUAACAAGGCAUCGGUAGGUGAACCU
rnacentral:rRNA from 1 species